UGGGGAAUCUUGCACAAUGGGCGCAAGCCUGAUGCAGCCAUGCCGCGUGAAUGAUGAAGGCCUUAGGGUUGUAAAAUUCUUUCGCCAGGGAUGAUAAUGACAGUACCUGGUAAAGAAGCCCCGGCUAACUUCGUGCCAGCAGCCGCGGUAAUACAGAGGGGGCAAGCGUUGUCCGGACUUACUGGGCGUAAAGCGCACGCAGGUGGUAAGGCAAGUGGGGUGUGAAAGCCGCCAGCUUAACUGGCGGAGGCCAUCCCAAACUGCUUCACUUGAGGCCUGUAGAGGUAUGUGGAAUUGCCGGUGUAGUGGUGAAAUGCGUAGAGAUCGGCAGGAACACCCAGGGGGAAACCAGCAUACUGGACAGGACCUGACACUCAGGUGCGACAGCGUGGGGAGCGAACCGGAUUAGAUACCCCCGUAGUCC
rnacentral:rRNA from 1 species